UGAAUAGCCCACGCAUUUGCAAACAGAAUUGUACCGGCUGGGACAUCGUAUCCUCCGAUGGUACAGUCCGCCGAUGACAUAUGCGGUGCUAGGAGCGGAACAACUGGAUGCAAUCGUAAGCUCUCAAGGAUGACACUUUGAAGGUAGGGUAGUUUCGAGAUAUCUGCUUCAUCUACCAUGUGGUAUUGACCAAUCUGAGCAUCCAAUUCUUCUCUUGCUUUCUUUUCCACAUCAGGAUGGUUCAGCAGGUUGCAAACUGCCCAUUCUAAAGAUGUACUGAGGGUCCUCGUCCCUGCAAGCAACAUUAUCUGCAGAAGAAAUAUGGAGUCUUAGAUGCAGAGUUCAUCAUCUAUGAUCAGCUAGAGCUAGAAAAUGAGAUCUGAG
rnacentral:lncRNA from 1 species